ACUUUUAAUUAUUUUUAUUUGCUUCCUUACUGUUUGCCCAUCCCUUUAUAGUAAAGUGCCUUAUUUUAAGCACUCUUUGUGUUGACUGCUUUCGGUCAAACCAAGAGAAGUUAUUUUCUGCUUCCUAUUAACCAAAAUGCAAUAAAAGUACUGAUCUUCUGAAAGCAAUUAGGAUGUGCAACUUGGAAUGGAUGAACGACCUUGCUUGUAUUAUGGAGAAAAUGGAAAAAAUCUCUUUUCCUUCCCCAUCCGUCACUGAGUGUAUUUUCAGUUAGCCUGGUGAACACGUAUUUGUUCCAGUGGAGCAAACUGGAAAUCAUUGGAGGUUUUAUGUGGUCAAAUAGACAUGUAGUGGAUAUGUAAUAUCCCAUUUUGCUGUGCUUGGAAUCUCUUUAUUCAUUUGCCAUUUCCAUCUACUAAAACUCUUUACACUAUGUCAAGGUCUUUAAUCAAAAAUUGUUUCAAAUAUAACAAUGUUAUAUGGAAAAGUUUAUAAGAUUUUAAAUUGUGUUAGGAAGACACACAAGGGCUGAUUUCUUAAACAAAAGUGUAUAUUAAACCAAUAAAAUAUUUAUUUUGCCUAUAAUCUGUGUCUGUUUUUCAUUGACCAUGGUUUACUCUUAAGCAAAGUAAGUAAUAUAGGUUUGAUCAAAUAGUGCACAGAAUGGAGAAUAGCAGCAAAGCUCAGGACUUGAGUUUCCAAAAGCUUUCAGAUGUUCAAGGGGUACUAUAUGCUUAGGAAAUGUGAAAUUUGAGAACAAUGUUGGCACCUAAAACCAAACUCUAAGUUUUUUGCUUCUGUUGUGGUUCCAAGAAUUUGGUUGGUCUUGACCUCUUCUCAGAGUUGAUCCCUGUGAGUGGAGCCAGAGCUUUGUUGAAAACCUUAUCCUACAUGGUUAAAAGUUGAAAUAUGAGCUCCGACAGCACUUAUGUGUGGCAAUCCGUUCAAGGUGGUAAGCUGCAGUAGGUUUCUGCUUUCCUUUGGAGCUUGCGUGAGCAGGCAGUUCCAUUCCAGAAUGCCACUGGAGAGUGACCAGCCAGACCUGAGCGCCUGCAACCUUCCUUCGCAAAUGUCCAAACCCAAAACCCACUCAAAUAAUUGCAGCAGCAGAUGCUCCCCUUAUACCCCAGCCAGAUUAAUUGACACACUUACCAUUAAUGUAGGUCCCAUGCCUGUGUGCUACUUGAAGUGGCAUUCCAAGAAAGGUGACAGCUGUGGCCGUGAGGGGGUGAUGGAGAAAAGCAGCUCAGGAGCUGGCAGCCACUGCACAGCACCUGCCAGCAGCAUUGUCCAUGCAGCCUGGCUCCUUGCAGCUUGGAGGUAACGAUCCAGUGUGCCUGGGGUGCUUUCUCAGCGACAGAGACUAAUGUUUAGUAUGUCCUGAGAAAUGAAAAACAGUGUGAAUUUUUCAUUCAGCUGAUGGGAGGCAGAUUUGUGAAGUUCUUGGCGUAAUUUAAAAUAAAGGCAUUUCAAGACGACAUUUCUAAAAUCUCUACUGAAACUAAUGAAUAUACAAGCACCUAUUUUUCCAUAAUCCCGAUAACAGAUUUUUGCUAUUCUUAAAGAUAGUUCCAGCUAAUAUUUUCUGACUGACAUUUAUGUAGUUAUAGGAAUGUCUAUAAACUCCUGUUAGAAAAAAAAUAUGUAGUGCACUGCUGUCAUGUAAGUUAAGCUGUACUGGUAUCAACCUCUAUUGACAUUUCUGCUUGUGCCUUAGGAACAGCCAUCAUUGUUAUUGGACACAUGCCUAACCUGGGUGCCUUGCCCUUUAGCAAUGUCAAUUCAGCUGUAAUGAUUUUCUGAGCAUGGACAAUUUUUCUUUUAUUUAACAACUGAAACUGCUACUUUCCUUACAAAUUAGUGUUGUCUUUUUUUUGCCAGCCUGAAAUUUGAUGUGAAUUCUAUGUAGAUUGAAACAGCUUUAUUGGUGGCUGAUAAAUAAUGGUUUAUCAAAUUUGCUGUGAAUAAAGCCAACAGUAAUGCCAGAGAUAUUUUGGAUGCUUUUCCACACUUCACUGUGAUAGUGAUCUUUGGGGCUGCCAGUUGGCUGCAGGAAUAUAAAGCCAAGGGCUGUAUUUUGGAAACGCUAAGAGCUAGCUGUUCUCAGUGGGUGCAGGAUGGCUACAUCGCUGUUGGUAAUAAAAUUGACUUGUCUUCAGCCUGCUGCCUGUGGCACAGCUCAGAGCAGGCACAGGUUUGGGGCCUGGUACUUGGAGAUUUUUUUUUGUAUUAUUAUUAUUUUUUUUAGGGUGAGUGAAAACAUGUUUCUAGCCCCCAUUGUUGCGGUGAAAAGCUACAAAAAUGACCUAUGCUGAAAUGACGUGGGGACAUCUCAGCGUUGGGCGGCUGGAGGCAAUAGCUGGAAAGGUGGGAGCAGCCCCUGCUCUCCCUGCGUCAGCACUGCGAUGUCUGGGAGGUGCUGCUGCUGCUCGCUGUGGGUGCGAGACCUGAAAAGGAAAGGACUGAGGAUGACCAUGGACCCAGCUAUGUGGCUGGGGGUAAGUACGCAGGAGAAGAGGGUCCUGCUGCUGGUAGUUCUGCAAUGCUGUUUGCAGAGAGGGCUCAGAGUGGCCCUGCUGAAAGAACUGAUGGGCUCUUGAAGUUCUAUGAGGCAGUUUUACUGAACACAGCCCUCACAGGAGGGAGGCUGCCCUGCAUCUCCUUCUUUCUUUCAAACUGUGUGGUGUGCAAGCCCUCAGCAACUUGCUCUUGGAAGGCAAGUGAUGCCCGAGAGGCUCCAAGCCAUGCAUUUCCUAGGGACCGAUUUGCUCUGAUUCCUGUCUCUUUUAAGGUGAGAAUUUAAAGCCUUGCUGAUGCAGUCCAACCACUGAUGCUCACCAGUAUCACUCUACUGAGUCUUGAGGGGCAGCGUUUGUCCUGCCUUUAGAUUUUGUGUACUGCUGAGCAAAUGGGUUACACCUGAAAUAUAGCAUAGGUUAGACAUUUUAAUGCAGUUAUACCAGAGAUUAAUCUGUUUUAAUGAAAUUUGCCACAGGAAGAUACUGAUUAGGGAGAGAGAAGAAGAGACAAAUUUGGAAGCUGGAGUAAUUCAAGCCAUAACUAGCAGUGUAAAACAAAUUGCCCCUAAACUGCUGGCAAAUUUCUCUUUUGGAAGAGUUUCUUCGAUAGGGAACAAACCCAAGACUCUGAAACUUGUUUGAUGUUGUAAAAUAGAUGGUUUCAGUCCAAUACACCACUUUCUUCUGAAUUAACAGGAUAAUUUCAAAAUAAUACAUUGUUUGAUUUUCAGAAAAAACAAGAAACAUUACCUUGGCAUAUGGCAAAUCUACUUUGAUAUUUCACAAGUAAUUUUUGGAUCUGGUGCUAAUCCUUCAUAUUCAUACCAUAGCAUAAAUAUGCACAAUAAUGUUAUGAUAACAAUUGUAACAAUAAAAGAUAUUAAAAAAAAAAAAACAGAAACAAUAUUACUCAAUAAUUCUAAAUAGCUUGCAUAUAAUGCAAUUUUGCAUAUAUGCUUUCUGAGUGAUGGUGAAUAUUAUAUGCAGAAAUAUAUUUCUCUUUUUUUGACAGGGUAAAAGGGGAAAGGCUGGACAAUGCUGAAGCAAUUAAAUGGUAGCAAGGAGAAGGCAGCACAAUGAGAACCAGGAAUUCCCUCAGUGAGUGAGGAGCUGUUCUGCUUAUUGUGAAAUCUUUGGUACAGAUACCUGCUUUCACAGGUAUCUCUAAGUUUGUGAGUACUUCGUAUAAUAAUGUAGAGUUUCUCUUUAUCUUCUGAAGUAAUCUCGUUUUCCUUUGGUUGUAUACUGCAAGUUAUUAGGGAGUCUCAGAGUCAAUUUAUUAAGAAAACAUCCACAUAAAUAUUUCUGUUUAGUUUUCUGUGUUUGACUUCAGUUUUAGAUUUUGGUUGAAAAGGAUCAUAAAGACAUGGGACUUGAUUUUGAAGGGCAGUGUCCUAUACUUGAUGUUAAAUAAUGUAAAUUUUAUAUGUGUACUUAAUAAAUUAAAUAUCGUGGUGAUUGGGGGUGCAGGAAAACUUACAUCUAGGCUUAUUUUUGCACUGGCAUAAGUAAUGAAAAGAAAAGCCUAGUAAAGAGAUGAUUGCUUAUUCUUAAAUAUGAGGAGUGUAGUAGUGCAGGCUCAUGAAACACUUGGAGUUUUGUUGCAGUCAUUAACAUGGGAACAGCCACAGCAGAUGAAACCAAAGGUCCAGCCCCUUCGAUAUCUUCACCCCCUCAGCGGCCAACAGCAAAUGAUGCCCUUUGGAAGAGUGUUCCCUGGGGGAGUGUGGGGAGCAUCUCUGCCAUUCUCAGCAGGUGGUGGCUCUGGGAUGUCCUGGCCAGUGGUGUUAUCCCUGAUGGAUCUCUUUUCCAUGAAUGUAUCUAGUUUUUAGCCUAUGUUUGUAUACUGAAUUUUCCGACUCAGACUCCGAAACUCUAGCAGUUAAUUUCUUGUCUGUCUUCUCCGUGCUCUAUAUUUUAAUUUUUGUUUUUUCUUUUUUUUAAAAAAUACAGUAGAAACUCAAUUUUAUAUUUUAAUUGUUUAAUUCAAUGGUAUAGUCAGUCUAUUUUUUCAUUAAAGAUUUAUUAUGUAAAUAAGGUGAUUUAAUUUCAUUCUAAAGUCUAUGUAAACUGCCAACAGUAGUUCUGCUUAUUGAAAGAUAUAUUAGAUUUACCCUGUUGUUGGUAAAGAAGCAAAUUCUAGCAUGACUGCUUGCUGAAAUACCUCCCUAAAACCAGUACCAGAAUUUUGGUUUCUGCACUAUUGAACUGUAGUCCAUAUUAUACAUGAAUCUUUUGACUGUCUGAUCAGGUUACCUACCAUUAAUCCAGCUCAUUUCCUGUGUUUUGGAUAUGUGUGCUCUAUGGACAGUAGUGGAUGGCACCUACCAGUAAAUGUCUGUACAUUCUCUGACAGUCUGGAGAGUUGUGAGUCCCAGAGAAAGACUUGAAUAGAUAGUAUCAGUUCUUAUGUCCUCAGAUAAAGCUGACUUUAAACUGAUCAUGAUUAAAAUUAUACCUCUAAGGAAUGAUGGCAUAAAUAGAAAUAGCUGUAUAGCUCUAUUUUUAACUUAUCUAGGCUUUGUGAAUCCAUGUAUUUAGUUAGUACAUAGUCAUGGACAAGCCUGGUGUUCAAUGAACGGGUACUGGUGAUGGAUGUUUGGGUUAGGCUGUUACUAGGCCAACAGCUUUUGCCAAAUGUCCCACUGACUCUGUCGCUGCUCAGCAAGACUUUCUCUUCUUCUUCUUGACCUGCCUGCGGCAGCACUUACUGCUUAUGAGGCGGAUGUGAUUUGCUUUACACCCUCCCACCCUUGCAGAUUUUAAAUUCUUCACAUUUUCUGCAUAUAAAUAGCAAACUGUGUUUCCAGCAGUUGAGUGGGAGCCACCCUGAUUGCAACCCCUGGAUUUCGCUAUUUUGGAAGGAAAUUUUCAGUGCCAUUUUUAAUAGAACUUUGUUUAUUCUUGAAAGGUUUGCAUGUCAUUUUAGCACCUAUGAGCAAAGCCUGGUGUAGAGCCCAGGAGAAAAACCUGUUCAUGAACAGGUAUGGUGUGCACAACAGUGCACACAGUUCAGUGUUCAUGCACUCUGCCUCCCUUCUGGGGCUGCCCAGCAGUGACCUGAGGAGAUGCUGGUGUGAGGAAAAGUCUCAGGAAUGCAUAGAUUAACACAUCUGUCCAAAGGUUCUGACAUAUCAUUGGCUACAAUGGGGAUUAAAGUUAUUCCAUGUGCUAAGGGACAUGGCAUGGAAUGACACUGCCAAGCAGAGUCUUUGCCUUGUGGAUCAGAGAACUGUGAGUGAAUGCUUCCCUGCAUCUGCACAGGUGAAAUUAGGAGCCAAAGCCUUAAGUGGGUGGCCUUCGCAAGCAGCUCCAGCUCUGUCUCCUCUCCUCAGCUGGCUGACGCUGCAGGAGUCCCUGACCACAGCAGAGAAGCCGAGGCAGAUCACAACCACAGCAGAAACUGUGUAAGGAAAGCACAGGACAGAGACCCUUGAAUUCUCUUCCCAGCAGCCUCUGUAUUUGGCUAGGAAAAAAAAAUAUAAACCUACCCUAAUGCAGCAAGAAAAAUCUCUCAAGCAGGAACUGCGCUGUGAGUGUUCUGGUAGCUCGUCAAUACAGUAGAAUACAUUAAAAGGCAGCACUUCAUACCAGAACCUAGUGAAUGACAUAGGAAGGAAUGAUCUUAGAUGGUUAUUGUUAUUUUUUCUUACAUGAUAGUUUUAGCUGAAUCAUGAAGGAAUUUGAAACGUGGGGAGUGCACUAAAAACAGAAGAUGAGCUAAAAGGAUUUGGCAGUACUUAAAUGCAUUUCAGCUCUUUCCCAGACUAUGAUGCAGUCUAUAGAAAAUGCAAGCACACUUUGCCCGGAGACAUCUAGUGCUGCAAAUUAGGUGUAAGAGUGAGCUGAUGUAGUAAUCCUGAAAUGCUAUACCCUAGUGGUCUCUGAAAUAUGCCUCUUAUACUAUUUUAAAAAUACUUGUAUUGUUAUAGUGCAUGUGAAGAUUGCUGGGCGCCAGCUGCAAAUAGGCACAGGGAGGAGAGCUGCAGAAGCAAAUAUUUCCACAUCACAUGGCUGGUGGGCCUCAUAGCAGCCCCAUCAAGGAUUUGUCCUUGUGUCUUGUCCUGUCUCUGUUGUCUGUCUCCCUUCUGAACCUGCCAAGAAGUGCUUUCAUUGGUUUAAUUCUUCAAAAGACUGUUGAACAUUUUUCUCAGGUACCUUUUCUAGCAACAUCUUUGAGACAUGAUUCCUUUAGACAGCAUGUCCAGUGGUCUAGAGCUGAAACACAACACUGCAGUCCUUUGGACAUUUAAUAUUUUAAUAUUUUUUCCACUGUCUGAAUGUGUUUUUCAACUUUUAUCAUUAACAUAAGAAAUUUUGAGCCUUUAUAGUGAGAGUUAUACCUCCUGUAAUACAGUAACAUACGCUGUAAUUGUAGCAUAAUUUAAUACAUGAAGUUUCGUAGGCAGCUGUAAUAGAUAUUUUGUGGCAGUUUUUUCAUAGAGAAAUGCGGUAUUUAAAAUAUACUAUUUAUUAUUAUAUAUAAUAGCAAAGCAGCUGAGAAGCAUUUUUCUCAUGUUAUCUGGGACUGCAAAACCAAAGAUUAUGUUAACUGUAAAAAUUUAUCAGAAAAGUCACAACUUCUGAUCCCUGUGUGUGUCUUCCCCCCAGGUGUAUUCCUGUGUAGAUUCUCUAUGUCUGAAGCUGUCAUUGAAGUUAGUGGUGUAUCUGUUCAUGAUAAUUAGACUGUCCUGAAAAUAACUCUCUAAUAGUCCUUUGUGAAAGUGGCAUGUGCCUCCGCUACUUUAGUGUCUUAGACUCUUAGUUGUACCAGCAGAACUGCUGCAAUUGUGCUCUGGCUCAAAUUGUCUGUAGAUAUCUACAGAGCAAAUUAUGGUUCUUCGUGCAGGAAUAGUGAAGGCUUAAAAAUUAUCACAUGAAACACUGAUGUGUGAUGUCCAGCCUCAGCUCUGAAUUCAGCUGCUCGCUGUUUCCUUACUGUGGUCUGCCAGAGGCAGGCCCAGGUUAUUACUCCUCUCCAUGAAUUUUAUGUGUUUGCUCUUUGUUCUGGCUGGGUGUGUUUCCCUUCGCAUGUUGAGAAUGUUCACAGGCCCUCCAAAACCCUGACCAAAAUGCAGGUAGCCUCAUCGCAGGUAAAGCUGACUCUGACAGGCUAGGCCAGUCUGGGUUUUCCUGCUGUACCUCAUUUUCUCUUUCUUCCCAAUUGGCAGGUAUAUGUAACAAGAGAUUGGCCCAAUGCUUGUGGGCUCAAAGCUGAGCUUUCAGCACAACCCUUUGAGCUGGCUCUGGAGCAUUUUCUGCCUGUGCCUGUGGAUCCAGUUUUGGCCUCAAACACACCUUUGUCACACGAAGGAGCUCUGCUGGGCAGCCUGGCAGUGCUCAGGUGCUCUAAGCAAAGAAGGAGGUUACAUCAGUGGUCGCUAUGUACUGUUUCAGACAGUUCUUUUGAAUUAAGGUGAAAUGAAAAGUGAUAAUGAAUUAUAUUCACCAAAGGCUACUAUUGGUAUGACUGACCAAAUUAUUUUCCUGAUCUUGGAAGGAGGCACAGAUUUUGUACCCCGAAGUAGGAUUUGGCCAUCUAAAAGUGAAGUAACUAGUCAUUUUUAUUUUUUCUAAGGUUAAUGGAGAGAAAAUGUCAUCUCCAGUAAACACUGUAUUCUGCUUAACUAGGGUAGACUGAAAUGCCCUUUGAUGUGUCUAGUAUGAGGGAUCCAGAUAACUGGUUUAAAUGUGGAUGUUCUCAGUAUCUGAAAUCAAGUGAGGUGAAGCCCAUCAGAAGCGAUAACAGUCUGAAUCUACAAACCCAGCCAUAAGGUGCAAACCCACUUAGCACACCAGAUACGCUUCAUGAAAGUGUAGGCAUCUGUGUGGCAUCAUCAUCAAAACUCUUCCUGGAAGAGUUUUAGAAAAGGAUUUGAUAGAGCAAUGGCAAUUGUUUGAUAGGUGAGAAGAGGAGAGCAGGUCUGGCACACUGUAACAGAGAUGGAAUUAUUGCAUCCACCCCUUCUGCUACCUCCGCCCUCAAAAUCUGAAAACUUCCUGAUUUGUGUUCAUCAAUAAUUAAGAGCCCAUCAGCAAUACUCAGAGGGAGCUUGCAUUGCACUUCUGAGCAGCCAGUUAGUAAUAUACAGUGGAGAGAUCCUCUUUUUCAAAUCCCAGGGCUCCAGGCCAUGCAAUGCUAGUAUUGCAUUUUCAAUUAGCUUCUGAGUGAAUGCUUGGCAUAUGUAGAAGUGAACUGGUACACAAUUAGCUUAUUGUUCCUUUCAGCUUUGUGCUGAGAGGAUCUGAAGGACUGCAGAAAAGAGGGGAGAGGGGCAAAAAAAGAAAAUAGCCAAGCCAGUGGGCAUCUCCAUGGAUGUGGAAUAAGGGAGUUGCUCGGCUCACGCAGAUUCCCUUGCUAAGUCGGGAGUUGCAGCUGCUACUGGGAGCACUCAGCCUGGCUGCGGGGAGAGCACCCAGGAGAGGAGCAGAUCGAGUCUCAAGCUCCAGGCUCUUCGCUCUGACUCACCUCAGCAUCACGAUGGAGCCCAACAGCCCUAAAAAAAUACAGUUUGCUGUGCCACUGUUUCAGAGUCAAAUAGAUCCCGAGGCAGCUGAGCAGAUCAGGAAAAGAAGGCCUACACCAGCAUCGCUCGUCAUCAUGAAUGAACAUGUGCCCCCAGAAAAAGACGAGAAGAGAACAAAUAUCUCACAGGCAGAGUCCCAGAGUGCCUCUCCCAAGCAGAGGAAGCAGAGCGUCUUCACCCCGCCGGCCCUCAAAGCAUUUAAAAUCCUGAAUUUGAUCCCAAGCAAGAUGACCAAACGAAGGCCUAAAUGACAUGGGAGCAGGCUCUGCCUACUCCCACUGCUGCUCCUGGUCAGCCUUUGACAUCUCCUGGGUUCCUGGACAGGAGCUGCAGGAUCCUGCAUGCAGCAGGGGGAUUAAGCACCUGAAGAGUCAGAGUGAUUCAGCGUUUCCAGAGGAAGAAGAGGGAGUUAGUGAAAGGGAAGAGGAAUGGGGCCAUUAAAGAGCAUGGAGCUGCUUCGAGACCCAUCACAGAGACAACUGACCUGGGUGGCCGUGCGUGCAUCAGAUCAUUCACCACUGCUUGUGUCCCCGCGCCGCAGCACUCGCUGUGCCACCGGCACCGGGGCUCCCCGGCAGCACCCUUGGCUGGGUUUUACAGCCACCUGCAAAUGUGUUCUGUGAUCCUUUUACCCAAAGAUAAAUCAGUUAUUUUAAAGUCAUUUUUCUUUCAUUUUUUUAUGACUUAGAAAUGUAAUUUGCAAAUGUGUUAGCAACCUGAUGUCAGUACUGCCAGAGCUUAACUACUGCGUGUGAGCUGUUCUCUAAGACCUGUUGUAAAUAAAACUGAUUUAAAAGCUACAAAAUAAAUAUGUUCAUUUAGACAAAA